GGUAGCUUGGCUAGCAGACAAAAUUAUUAACAAUCCUUUACACAUCGUUAAUAAUGGAGUAACCCUAAUACCAUUUCGAAAGUAGAACUGCUGUCUAGCGUGCUGAACUCGUAUCGAUAAGUUUCAUCCGCCAGCAAGCAUAUCAAUGCAGGGCAACACCGGAAGGCUCCCUCCGUGAAAUAGCACGAAACUGGAAAGGCGUCGAAUGGAUGAGAAUUGGAAUAGGAUUUUGGAUUUGUUGAGUCUACGGCAAACCCUCUGUCGGAGUAUUUCUAGCUGCAAAAAAAAUUCACACUUGGUAAGUCCGAGCCCCGAGUACUUAAAAGCAAAAGGUGCUUUGAACCCGAUUUGAGUGACAACGGUACGCUGAAACAUAAGACCAUUACAUAAAGGCCUGCCGGAUACACUAGAGCUUACAAGGCGGCUUUUGCGGUUCUAUUGCACACGUGCUUCGACUGGUAGCAUAGCAGAUUCAUCGUGGCGGUUUCUUUAUUGUCGUCAACACGUGAGGCACCGUGUCAGAUCCAUAAACAGAGAGAGCUUGUUCGACUUUGGGCAACCCCACGUAGACGGCCCUACCUGGGCGGCCGUUCGCGACGAUGCUAGGCACCAAUUCAGAGCACCGUUAUGAUCUACCUCUGGAAGGCGCUACCCGCUGAUAAAUAACUGAGUGAACUACUCCACUUCCCAGAAAAGCAUUAGCGACGUUGCCCGUCUUGGCAGCACGAUCUAUUGGAACAAAACGAUACCGGCUUCGCUCGGAUAUCUUCCGUAAAAUAGGGAAGAAACGAAUCAUUCUAACCUUAUAACGUGACAAGCUGCCAAAAGUGACUACCGCUAUGAGUGCUUAGUAGAGCACAGAACCGAAUAGAUUGUAACAACCGCUUUUGGCUAGGAUUGUCACCAUUUUAUUAAGAGCACUUCUAAUCAAAUUUCAUAUCGGUAAGGCGUCAAUCGGCAAUAUCUGCUGGAGCAGCGGCUUCGUUCCUGUUACGGAAACUCCCGAAUUGUUUUUUGCUGCGUCGUGUACCUGCCCGUUAUGCACUACUAGCCUGCAUAGAUCAUCUAUUUGCAUGUAAAUAUAGUCGACAACAUUGCAAGGAUACGAUAUAAAUGGAUUGGGGAAAAAGCACAUAUUAAGCUAAUACUAAUCCGUGUUUUUGUGCUUAACAUUGGCCUAAGCUACCAAACAGUUAUGAGGUGCACCCACAAUAAUCGCUUUUUUACACCUUAGUUUAGGACACGGAGGCCUAACAAGAUGAGUCUCACCCUACGUAUGUGAGCGUGAUAUUUUUUCGAUCCCAUAAAGAAGGUCAGCAUUCAGCCUGAAGCCAAUUCGUUAACUAAAUCCACAAUUUUUUGCAGGCAGUAGCGCCUAGUGGACCUAGUAGCUCAAUACAGUACAAUACUUGAGCAUCGGUAACAGGACCUACGUGUGCUCCUUCUAAGGGCUUUCUAAGCUGUCGAAUUGAUCUCCUGUUUUGGGUUUUAUCUGCAGCUCACUACUCUCGAUAAAGUGUUGUCAACUACGAAUCCUUGGUUUCUGGAAGCGCUUGUUGGAUGGGCAUCGUCAACCAUCUAUGAGUAGUACUCAUAAUAUGUUAGUGCUGCUAUGCGUUUUUGACACUGAAAUGAAAGCCGAUCCUAACGGCAACGCGACUUGCGUAUCCUGCGAUCAGAGCAGUCUUUGCUUGAGAUAAUUGACUAGGGUAGUUAAGCGAUGUAAGAAAGCGCGAAGGCCGCACCUGUGAAGCCGGCCAGCGUUGAUGAGCAUGGCGACUAAACUUGGGCGGGACAUUUGAGCGAAUAGGCUCCUUGACCUCUUGACCCCGUAAACCUCUUCAAGCAAUAACGUCAUUGAAGAAGAUCAUCAACAGGCUAAUCAUUAGCGGUGUUGACCAUCUACUGGUCAUCGUUCGUGCGCCGCAUAGCUUUGUGUUAUAGUAAGUCUUUUGUUGUGGCCCGAACAGCCAGCGACACAGCUGUUGACUUCGACUGGCACAUUAUUAAACGUCAGUGCAUGAAAAUGGGUUGAAUUAAGAAUCCUGGGCGCCUGUAAGCUGCUAUGAACAUGCUUGCAAAUUAUUGAAUUUAAACGAAUAUGGAAAAUUGUGGGCAAGCUGAAUCAUUCUCUUCUUUAGGUUGAAUAAAUGCGAACGACUUCUUGUUAUCGCACUGGACCAGGUGAAAGAAAAAAAAAAAAAAAAAAAAAGGGUUUGUAGUACAGGUUCCGUCUUCUGCGAUGACAAAUUUAGCCGUUUGUGUAACAAACUAACGUCCCAAUUAGAUAGGUAAAAAGAUAUUUGUAGGCGGAUCUCCGAGACGAAUGGUUGCAAAAGAAUUAACUCUGUCACGUCAGUACGCGAUGACCGGGGGGUAUUUCUAUAACACGAUAACAAGCAUAAUUGUUGAUCGAUAUGCAAACACGAUUGAAAACGCUUGUGUUGCUCAUAGGGCAUUUGGAAAAUUAUUCCACAACCAAGUGUAUUGUAGUCCAUUCAAAUCGAUCGUAUGGAUUGAAUAGACCUUACUUUAAUCGGACCAAUGUUAUAGAUGAUGA